AAAGUUUCGGGACCAAGUCAGUUACCUACAUUAUACCAAUUCAGUAAGUACAAGUUAUACCAAACUCCGUACCUUAUUAGACCAGUUGUUCCAGUCUCACAAUCUAUUGUUGUAGAUACUUCUAGCCUCCUAUUAGACUUCCCGAUCUACCUCAUGCAGCUGUCAACUGCAAUCUUUUGGUCCUUAGCUAAUUGUAUCACCAAGUGGAACACCAAGAACCGCCUGUUCUUGUGCUUGUAACUAUGGCUCAAUCAACCUCUCUCAAUCCUCCAAUGAGAGAGUCCUUCCUCAAUAGAUUAAAGAAGCAAGGUGAUUUGGAUUAUAUAGAUUCGAUGUUUUUCCCUAAAACAAUGGUUGUCGGUUCACAAGAUUGAUGUAGAUGAAAUUCUCAAUUAAUUGUGACACGACCCGUCCCGAAUCACCCUAGUGGACCUGAAAUGUGAUGUGCACCGAUGAUAGAUGCUGAUAGAUGUCAAAUCUAUCACUAAGGCCAACUAUGAGUUAUUUCAAAAAAUGCGCCAAAAUCAAAUGCUAUGUAAAAUAAAAUGAGAUGGGUCCAAAUUUUUUACUUUAUGCCUCAUCAAUAUGAGUUAUAACACUCAACAUAUCGUGUGACUCUCAUUUCGAAAUUAUUAGGCUCUCCAACUAAAAAGAAUCAAUUGCUACAUGUAGGAAAAUUACGAGAAAAUAUAUGAGUUGAUAGCUCAGUAAGUGGAGAAUUUCGAAAAUAAGUAUACUUUUUCCAUUUUACAUUUUUAUUGAAAAUCGAGUUCAUAUCAUUGAAUAGUUCACAAGAUAACAUCACAUAAUUAUAGCUAAAAUGUAAGACAUUUACAUAAUGUGGUAAAAUAUCAUCUCAAGUCAUGAUAUAAAUAUAAGCUUGUAAUCAUGCUAUAAUCUCAUCAUAUUAAAUAUGCUGAAAAAUUCACAAAAAAGUAUCCUCUGACUAAAAUUUGUAACCCACCCUUUGAGCUAAAAACUUUCUUCAUGGGUCUUUCGCCCUCCCUGUGAAUGAAAGUCGAUUUCAAAGACUUAUGGUAAUCAAUUCUAGAACACGGCCAAAGCCCCUCUGUGAAUUAUAUGUACACGAUCAAGACCAAUGUCAGGUCAAGACCCCUCCGUGUAGAAUAGAACAUGGACAAUGCUCCUCUAUAAACUAAAAGAAGUAUAUAAUCAUGGGUACUUUUCUGGCCGAUCUCAAUAUCACAUGUAGCACAUAUCAAACAAAUCUCAAUAUCACAUGUCCUACAUAACAAGUCACAAAUGUGCCAUAAAUAAUCUUUGAGAUUCUACAUGUAUCAUAAUAAAAGAGAGUUCCAUAACAAUAAUAUAAUCGAACACAUAAUUGCACAUACUUUGAUAAUAUAUUUAAUUUAUAAAUACUUUAAAAAUAUUUAUAUUUUUCCACUCACAGAUUUAUGGAUAGAAAUCUGGCUAAAUUGACGAGUCUUUCCAAAUUUUUAUGUCACUACCUGAAAUAACGGUAUAAUUACUUAGAAACUUGACAAUUAAAUUAAUAUAAUUCCAUCACUUAACUCCUCAACUUCUAUAUUUACUCUUACAUCUCCAAUCCCCAACUUUUAUUUGCUUCAUUAAUUCAUCAUCUAAACACCAUGCAUUAUCAAAUCUAUUAAAUUACUCACUUCCUUAAAAUCAAUAACUGAUACAUAUACAAGUCCUAUACAUAAUUUAUUCCAAUACAUAAACUUCAACACUUGUCAUAUAACUUCAUUCAAGCCUUUAAAAAAAUCUGAAAAUAAGAGUUUUGAUAAAAAACAACACUAAAAUCCCAUAAUAUUGAAAUCUGGCACCAAUUUCUGCACAUUAAAAUCUGGCAUCAAAACCAUUGACAGAAAUGGCACUUUUCUAGGCAGAAUUUCAAGAAUAGCACCUGCAAAUGAAUUUUGCUCAAAAGUUUAUUAUAAAUACCAAAAUCUAACCUAAAAUUCUUUUACCACUCUAAUUCAUCAUAGCUCAAGUGUUUUAUAUCAUAUAAACACAAUAAUUCAAAGAUUGGAACUCUAAUUUACAAACCCAUUUCACAUUUCCUUCCUUUCAACACUAAUAUUACUGUUGUUUUUAAUGCCUCAAACAUAUAUCAACAAUCAUUAAUUUUGCUAAACCUUAAAUUUGAGAAAAUUUCCAUAAACUCAAAAAGAUAAUUCAUCCUACUUACACCCACCUCUCUAAAUCAAUGGAGAAAUGAAGAAUCCAAACUUGAAGACCCACCUCUUCUUCUUCUUCUCUCUCUCAUUUUUUUUUUUUUU
rnacentral:lncRNA from 1 species